rnacentral:rRNA from 1 species
UUAAAUGGAAAGAGCGUAGGGUGGAUGCCUUGGCACUAAGAGCCGAAGAAGGACGUGACAAGCUGCGAAAAGCUGCGGGUAGGAGCAAAUAUCCAAUGAUCCGCAGAUAUCCGAAUGGGGAAACCUGCUGCAGAAGAGCUGCAGCGACUGUACAUGAAUCCAUAGUGUGCAGCCGGGAACCCGCUGAACUGAAACAUCUAAGUAGGCGGAGGAAGAGAAAACAACAGUGAUUCCGUAAGUAGCGGCGAGCGAAAGCGGAGGAGCCCAAACCAUGGUGCGUGCACCAUGGGGUAAGGACUGCAAAAAGAGAGUAUUCCGUUAUCAGAAAGGACCUGGAAAGUCCUGCCGAAGAGGGUGAGAGCCCCGUAAGAGAAAAUGGGAUAUAAUCCGGCAGAAUCCGGAGUACCACGAGACACGUGAAACCUUGUGGGAAGGCGGGGGGACCACCCCCCAAGGCUAAAUACUACUUAGUGACCGAUAGCGCAUAGUACUGUGAAGGAAAGGUGAAAAGGACCCCGGGAGGGGAGUGAAAGAGAACCUGAAACCCUAUGUUUACAUACAGUGGAAGUAUUAUUCUAUGUACUUACCUGCUCUUACGAAGCCUUGCAGGUCUAAAUGAGUGACUGCUGCGUCAACAUACUCGUCGUAGACAACUACGACUGCGUGUGUUUCCUUGCAUUCACACAUUUAUCCGAUGCAAAGCAAUCGUAGAAGGAGGCAAGUACAUAGAAGUACAACCGCGUACUUUUUGUAGAACGGUCCGGCGAGUUGCCGGUGCUGGCGAGGUUAAGGACUAAAGGUCCGGAGCCGAAGGGAAACCGAGUCUUAAUAGGGCGUAAAGUCAGCAGCGGCAGACCCGAAACCGGGUGAUCUAUCCAUGUCCAGGUUGAAGUUCCCGUAAAAGGGAAUGGAGGACCGAACGCACAUCCGUUGAAAAGGGUGGCGAUGAGGUGUGGAUAGGGGAGAAAUUCCAAUCGAACCCGGAGAUAGCUGGUUCUCCUCGAAAUAGCUUUAGGGCUAGCCUCGAUUUAGUCAGACGGAGGUAGAGCACUGAAUUCCUGAGGGGGCGUCAAAGUCUGCCAAGGGAUAUCAAACUGCGAAUGCCGUGCUGAUGGUGAUCGGGAGUCAGACUGUACGAGAUAAGUUGGACAGUCAAAAGGGAAAGAGCCCAGACCUACAGCUAAGGUCCCAAAAUACGUGUUAAGUGGAAAAGGAUGUGGGAUUUCGAAGACAACUAGGAUGUUGGCUCAGAAGCAGCCACACAUUCAAAGAGUGCGUAAUAGCUCACUAGUCGAGAGGUCCUGCGCCGAAAAUUUCCGGGGCUGAAACACGAUACCGAAGCUCAGGAGUGUGUAAAAGCACACUGGUAGAGGAGCAAUCUCAACGCGCAGAAGCAGUACCGAUAAGGAGCUGUGGAGUGUUGAGAAGAGAGAAUGCCGGAAUGAGUAGCGAGAAUGAUGUGAGAAUCAUCAUGGCCGAAUAUCCAAGGAUUCCAGGGUAAAGCUGAUCUGCCCUGGGUAAGUCGGGACCUAAGGCAAGGACGAGAGUCGUAGUCGAUGGACAGCUGGUUCAGAUUCCAGCACCUGACAUGAUCAGAACUGUGGGGACACAGAGACGUAACCGGACCCGGGAGAGCAAAGACCGGGCCAAGCGAAGUAGGUGUGCGGAAGGCAAAUCCGCCGCACAAGCCGAAGGCGUUAAGGGGAGCGAAAUCAAGUAGCGAAGCCGGUGACCGUAACUGUCAAGAAAAGCCGCUAUUGUAUCAUGUCAGCCCGUACCGCAAACCGACACAGGUGGAUGAGGAGAGAAUCCUAAGGCCGGCGGGAGAAGCAUUGUUAAGGAACUCGGCAAAAUGACCCCGUAACUUCGGGAGAAGGGGUGCUGCAGAGAUGCAGCCGCAGAGAAAAGGCUCAAGCAACUGUUUAGCAAAAACACAGGUCUAUGCGAAACCGUAAGGUGAAGUAUAUGGGCUGACGCCUGCCCGGUGCUGGAAGGUUAAGAGGAGAGGUCAGCGGGGAAACCCGCGAAGCUUUGAAUUUAAGCCCCAGUAAACGGCGGCCGUAACUAUAACGGUCCUAAGGUAGCGAAAUUCCUUGUCGGGUAAGUUCCGACCCGCACGAAAGGCGUAAUGAUUUGAGCGCUGUCUCAACAAUGCACCCGGUGAAAUUGAAGUACCAGUGAAGAUGCUGGUGACCUGCGCCAGGACGGAAAGACCCCAUGGAGCUUUACUCUAGUUUGAUACCGGGAUCCGGUGUUACUCGUACAGGAUAGGUGGGAGGCUACGAAGUAUGGACGCCAGUCUAUACGGAGCCGCUGUUGGGAUACCACCCCUGUGGCACUGGGUUUCUAACCUGCGUCCAUUAUCUGGACGGGGGACAAUGUCAGAUGGGGAGUUUGACUGGGGCGGUCGCCUCCGAAAGAGUAUCGGAGGCGCUCAAAGGUUCCCUCAGAAUGGUUGGAAACCAUUCGCAGAGCGCAAAGGCAGAAGGGAGCUUGACUGCGACACCGACGGGUGGAGCAGGUACGAAAGUAGGACUUAGUGAUCCGGUGGUAUAAAGUGGGAUUGCCAUCGCUCAACGGAUAAAAGCUACCCUGGGGAUAACAGGCUUAUCACUCCCAAGAGUUCACAUCGACGGAGUGGUUUGGCACCUCGAUGUCGGCUCAUCACAUCCUGGGGCUGAAGUCGGUCCCAAGGGUUGGGCUGUUCGCCCAUUAAAGUGGUACGCGAGCUGGGUUCAGAACGUCGUGAGACAGUUCGGUCCCUAUCCGGCGCGGGCGUAAGAUAUCUGAGAGGAGCUGUCCUUAGUACGAGAGGACCGGGAUGGACUGACCACUGGUGUACCGGUUGGGGAGCAACCCCACGGCCGGGUAGCCAAGUCGGGCCGGGAUAAACGCUGAAGGCAUCUAAGCGUGAAGCCCCCCUCAAGAUGGGAUAUCUCAUGCGAGAGUAGUAAGACCCCUUUAAGACUAAGAGGUAGAUAGGGCAGAGGUGUAAGCGUAGCGAUACGUUCAGCUGACUGUCACUAAUCGGUCGAGGGUUUAACCAA